rnacentral:rRNA from 1 species
UGCCAGCAGCCGCGGUAAUACGGAGGGUCCAAGCGUUAUCCGGAUUUAUUGGGCUUAAAGAGUUCGUAGGCGGCUAUGUAGGUCAGAUGUGAAAUCCCACGGCUCAACCGUGGAACUGCGUUUGAAACCACAUAGCUUGAGGGAGAUAGAGGUGAGCGGAACAGAUGGUGGAGCGGUGAAAUGCGUUGAUAUCAUCUGGAACACCGGUGGCGAAAGCGGCUCACUGGAUCUCUUCUGACGCUGAGGAACGAAAGCUAGGGUAGCGAACGGGAUUAGAUA